rnacentral:misc_RNA from 1 species
UGUGUCUCUCUUUUUGUCAUAAACAUUUUUACAUUAAUUUUUACUAUUGUGCUUUCGAGCCAAGUAUAAUUUUGCUUUGUUGGGAAUUCCUUCUUCAUGUAAAGUUAAUGAUUUUUAAUAUUUACUUUUACUUUUUACUCGAUUUUUUUUUUAGCAUUCAUUCAUAUAUAAAUAAAAUACAAUAUUAAAAUACAAUGACAACAAUUUAUUAAUCAUUUGGUUGUAAAUGAUUUAUCUGAACAACAGCAUGGUUUCCGAGCAGGGAGAUCCACAUCUACCCAGUUGUUAGAAGUAGUCGAAUGUUGGUCCAGACUUGUGGAGAUGAUGUUUAUGUGCCACAGAAGGACUUCUUUAGUCAAGCAGUACGGCGAAACCCAACCUUGCACGAUGCCGAGUAUGCCGAGAAGUUAAGGAGAUGUAAUCCCACUCUAGGAGAAACCUAUGCCCUACCAUUGUGUAAUGCUCACAAUAGACGAGUACUGUACUGUAUUUGCGAAUAUCCAGUACCCAAGGACUCGUGUAACAUUACUAUGGAUGAUUGGGUUGAAAUGGUCAAUGACAUCCGUGACAACUAUGAGAAGUUUGAUGGCUUUGUGAUCAUACACGGUACUGACACCAUGUCCUAUACAUCAUCGGCACUUUCGUUCAUGUUUGAGAACCUUGGUAAGCCAGUCAUCUUGACUGGUUCUCAGGUACCAUUGGAAGAAACCCGCAGUGACGGUAGAGAGAAUUUACUUGGAGCCCUGUACCUUGCUGGACAUUAUGUUAUUCCAGAGGUAACAUUAUAUUUUGAUUACAAGCUGUUUCGAGGCAAUCGUGUCACAAAGCUUGUUAACAAUGAGCUUGAUGCCUUUGGUUCACCUAAUCUUGACCCACUUGUCAGAAUGGAAAUUGAAGUAGUAGUGGACUGGGAUAGUUUAUUUCGGAGUAAGUCUACACAAAAAUUUAAAGUUCACACUAAUUUGAACUGUAAUGUCGGCUUACUGAGGCUGUUCCCUUGUAUCACUGUACAAACCGUGAGAUCAUUCCUGCAACCGCCAAUGCAAGGUGUCGUCCUCCAGACUUAUGGAGCAGGCAAUGGACCUAGUGACCACAAGGAACUCUUAGAUGAAUUCAAAGCGGCAUCCGACAGAGGGGUGUUGAUUUUAAAUUGUACUCAGUGUGUCAAAGGAGUGGUUUCAAAUUCAUAUGAAACUGGAAAAGCUUUAAUAGAUGUUGGGGUAAUUCCAGGAGCUGAUAUCAACCCUGAGGCAGCACUGGCAAAACUUGGCUACGUCCUUGGCAAACAGGGUUUGACGCGUAAACAUCAGCUGGAUAUGCUUCAGAGAAACUUACGUGGUGAGAUCCAAGUCAGUAACGAGGAAGUAAAGAAGUUCUCUCUUGACGACUCAAAGUUCAUUCAAGCAGUUGUAGAAACUCUCAACAUCUCGAACAGUCAGGAGGUGAAAUCAGUAAGCACUGCACUGUUCCCAGUGUUGAUGUGUGCCGCUGCCAAAAAUGGUGACUUGACCUUGCUGAAACAAUAUGCGUCUAUGGGAGGGAACUUAAACUUAGGUGAUUAUGAUCAGAGGACACCUUUGCACAUGGCCGCCAGAGAAGGCCAUGUAGACAUCGUGACAUAUCUUUUGGAGAAUGGAUGCUCAAUCUAUGCUAGGGAUUGUUUUGGUAACACACCAUAUAUGGAAAGCAUAAGGUGCAGAAAUUUUGAGGUGAUUAAACUUAUACGGCAAACAGGUGGACAUUUUAUACGUGAAACGACUCAAGAAAUUGCAUCUUUGCUAUGCCGGGCUGUGGAGCUUGGAGAUGUUGAUGGACUGAAAGCAUUCCAUAUUGCUGAUGUAAAUUUUAACAACACUGAUUAUACCGGGAGGACAGCACUACAUGUGGCAGUGACACUGGAACAAAUUGACUGCAUUAAAUAUCUGUUGAGUCACGGUGCCGAUAUUCAUACAGUUGACCAACAGGGACUCACUCCUUUGAAGCUAGCAGAGAAACUUGAUCAUAAAUGCAUUUCAGAACUAAUGAAGUCAAGUAAUAUACAUUUCAGUUAAUGACAUAUGGUAACUAAUUCCACAAAUAAUUUGUGGAAUUAAGUUACCAUAUUUCAGUUAAUGACAUAUGGUAACUAAUUCCACAAAUUAUGUAAAUAAGCUAUAUAUAAUUUUUCUUUUUAUUUUUUUAAAUUUUUUUAUUCUUAGUAUUUUUAUAUUAUAAUUUUGGUUUGGUUAUUAAACCUAUCACACACAACACAAGCCACAAAAUGUUAUUAUCAUCAUUACCAUUAUCAUUUAUAUUAAGAAUUGCCCUUCUGAAAAUAUUAUAAAUUAAUAGUUGUACAGAUAAAUAUAAUUUUUAUGUAUUAUAUUAUCUUAUUUAAAGCGCUGUUCACACUUUAAGUCUUGUGUGACAGGUACCUGUGAAUUUGCCCACCAAAUAUGGGUGUGGUAUGACAUCAUUAUGUCCAGCCACAGAAAAUUAAGCAGUGUACCUUCCAGUCUUUAUUUAAGUAAACAAAAUAUUGAAUUUCAUUGUCAGUUGUUACUUAACACAGACAGCAUAUCUAUAGCUAGAAAGCAUAACUCUACAGUUGCAUGUAUUUCAUUGUUUUAAUCUCAGUACUAAUUAGUGUACAGUAUUAGCAUUGUGAUCAUCAUGUAUUUCAUUGUGGUGUUAAUCUCAGUACUGAUGAGUGUAUUAACAUAUUGUGAUCAUCAUGUAUUUCGUUGUGGUGUUAAUCUCAGUACUGAUAGUGUAUUAACAUAUUGUGAUCAUCAUGUAUUUCAUUGUGGUGUUAAUCUCAGUACUGAUUAGUGUAUUAACAUAUUGUGAUCAUCAUGUAUUUCAUUGUGGUGUUAAUCUCAGUACUGAUUAGUGUAUUAACAUAUUCUGAUCAUCAUGCAUUUCAUUGUGGUGUAUUAGCAUUGUGAUCAUAUCAUGAAUUGUAUCAUCUCAAUAUUUCUAUCAUGCAAUUCCUAACAGCACAGUAAUAAUUUCUACACUCUGUGUUUUUUUUCAUAGUGAAUAUUUAAUUAGUUUUUAAUUAUUUAUUAUGUAUAUAUGCAAAUUAUUUGUAUAUUAUUAUUUUUGUACUAACUGAGGCAAACAAAAUGCCCAUUGAAUAAGUGGCAAACAGAUAAGUUUGUCAUUGUAAGAAAUAAUGCUAUUCCGAUAACGACAUCAGUCGCCUUAAAGGAAUUACGACUCGAACAAUGCCCUCCCUUGGAUACACCACAAUAUAGGCUGGCUGUAUAUGAAUUUUGUAACUGAGAUCCAGCCACCCUUUCCAACAAUGUUGUUUCAACAUUUGAUCUAUAAAAAUCAAUUUUUUAAUAAAUCUACUGUUACAUUUUAUUAGUAUUUAUUUACUGCAUACUUUACUUGUUCGUUUUAUCGCUCUGGAAGAGCACCGGAUUUGCAAUUCGAUCAAAUAAACAAAUAAACAAUAAUAA